rnacentral:lncRNA from 1 species
CCACCUUCUUCCCCACUCCCCUUCGCCGGUCCCACGUCCCUCCCGGCCACGGCCAAAUCCAAGCCCUCGCAGCCCCUCGCCCACCUCGCUACCAGUCCAGCCAAAUCCCCGUCGCCCAGCGCGCCCCGAACUCCUCCCACAACCAGCACGCUCUCCAACCGACAGCGCACCCCGCGGCCACGGCAGGUUCCGGCCACCACCACGCCUCGGCGGGGUUUCCGCCACCGGAUCUAGCCGCAAAACGACCAUCGGUGCAGCCGACACCCACCGCCCACCGCCGCCACCCCUUCCUCCCCAUCACUCCAUCUCAGAGGAGCCUCCUCGGGCGGGUCGUGAGCAGCAGCUCCUCCAUUCCCUACACAGCUUCCCCUGAAGUCAUGUCGCCCAGCGCGCCCCAAUCCCCUACAACUGCCAGCGCAUCCUGCGGCGAUGGCGGGAUCCGGUUGCCCCUGCCCCUCAGUCGUGCAGUACAGCGCUCAGAGUUCCUUAACGCGAUACCUCCGGCUCAGUGUCAUGGCCGGCGGGCACGGUCUCGUUAAGAGCAUGGUCCAGAACCGUGGCUGCGAGCUGGCCGCGACCAAGACGGAAGUCGUGGUGAGGACGGGUCUAGCCGCUGUUUCGUCCGCCCUGUUCCACCGAUGCCGGCCCUCAUGCUUGUUGAAGGCCUAGUACAGGUGAGGUGAAUACCAUUUCCAAUCUCGGUCAGAUUCAACGCACCUUCGUUUUCUUGAUUGAUUCAAACCAUGCCAUCAGAUUCAAGAAGCAUGUAUGUACUCUAGUACAUGUAGAUGUUGUUUGUUGUGUGGCUUCCAUUAAUCAUGCGAGCAGAUUUUCUUUUCCUUGCUUCAAAAUAUUAAUGCAUGCCUUCCUGCCUAGCAGCAGUCAUAUUUUUAAUGGACAUCUUUGAAGAGUUUUAGUUGUGGUGGAAGAACAACACACUAAGUGGCUAUUUAAAUCCAUUUGCGCUGCUAUUUUGUCGUUGUGGUGGACGAACAGACUGAGUUUAUUAUGCAAAAAACUAGUAUUAGUAGUAGUAGUAGUGUACCAUGUCAGUGUCCCAAAGAUUGCAGUUGCAGCAAGGAGCAGCCUAGUAGCAUGCAUCUAUUUGUGUUGUCGAAAUUUAUUCUCUCUCUCUCUCUAGGAUUGCAAUUUAAAGCUGUCCCUGCUACAUUAUCCGAGGUUGAAGUCCCUCCCCUCUCUGGUGCUCGUUGUCUGAUUCCAUCAGCUUACUUUAUUUUGCAGUUCCGGCGGCACUCCUUUCUAUCAUGCAUCCAUGGUGGGACAACACGGCCAUGCUCCUCUCCAUACGCUUGGCGUGAACCAUCGUCGCUCGGCCACCUUCCCCUUCGGGCGCGACCGGCGCAACAACAAACGACGGGUCCAUGUUCGGCUUUGGUGGCUCACGUGUCGGCCGUUGUUGUACAUCCGGUGGUCCGAUGCAGCUCAGUCCCUCGUGACAAGCAGUUCCAGCAGCGUUGUUGUGGAGGUAGUUGACUCCAGCCAUCGCACGUGUGCAGUUCGGUUGGCGUAGGCAUGUGAUUCAACUAGCGUGCAUGCAGUUCAGCUUGCACAUGUGUGCGUUUUAGCCACCUUAAAAAGCAAAUGUGUUUUGGUGUGGUACCGCGCAUGGGAGUAUCCCGUUGAGUUCGGCUAGAAUAGCAUUGUGGUUAAGAGUUUAGUUUGUCACAUUUGUAGGGCAGGGCAGUCUAAUAUUUGGGUGUGUUAAUUUGUUUAAAGAAGACAAGGGAAAGUAGGUCACUCCAAUUUGUGUAGCAACUCAUAUAUGAAGUGCAAUUUAUUUCUAUGUGUUUUAAAAACCUAGUCGACUAUAUCAACACAUGUAGUGCGUUUGGUCCUUGGAUGUGGUUCACUUUUGAGAAUGGCGAUGUUCACUUGCGCCCAACAAGAAAGUGUAAAAAAAUUAGCG